rnacentral:rRNA from 1 species
CUACGGGAGGCUGCAGUGGGGAAUAUUGGACAAUGGGGGAAACCCUGAUCCAGCAAUGCCGCGUGUGUGAAGAAGGCCUGCGGGUUGUAAAGCACUUUCGGUUGGGAGGACUGCUUCUAGCACUAAUAUUGUUGGAAGUUGACGUUACCUUCAGAAGAAGCACCGGCUAACUCCGUGCCAGCAGCCGCGGUAAUACGGAGGGGGCAAGCGUUAAUCGGAAUUACUGGGCGUAAAGCGCGCGUAGGCGGCUAGAUCAGUCGGGUGUGAAAGCCCCGGGCUUAACCUGGGAACUGCAUCGGAUACUGUCGGGCUUGAGUACAGGAGAGGAGAGUGGAAUUCCACAUGUAGCGGUGAAAUGCGUAGAUAUGUGGAGGAACACCAAUGGCGAAGGCAGCUCUCUGGCCUGAUACUGACGCUGAGGUGCGAAAGCGUGGGGAGCAAACAGGAUUAGAUACCCGCGUAGUC